GACGAACGCUGGCGGCGUGCCUAAUACAUGCCAGUUGAGCGAUGAAGAUUGGUGCUUGCACCAAUUUGAAGAGCAGCGAACGGGUGAGUAACGCGUGGGGAAUCUGCCUUUGAGCGGGGGACAACAUUUGGAAACGAAUGCUAAUACCGCAUAAUAACUUUAAACAUAAGUUUUAAGUUUGAAAGAUGCAAUUGCAUCACUCAAAGAUGAUCCCGCGUUGUAUUAGCUAGUUGGUGAGGUAAAGGCUCACCAAGGCGAUGAUACAUAGCCGACCUGAGAGGGUGAUCGGCCACAUUGGGACUGAGACACGGCCCAAACUCCUACGGGAGGCAGCAGUAGGGAAUCUUCGGCAAUGGACGAAAGUCUGACCGAGCAACGCCGCGGGAGUGAAGAAGGGUUUCGGAUCGUAAAACUCUGUUGGUAGAGAAGAACGUUGGUGAGAGUGGAAAGCUCAUCAAGUGACGGUAACUACCCAGAAAGGGACGGCUAACUACGUG
rnacentral:rRNA from 1 species